GCUGCAGAUUUUUGUAUUUUUAUGGUGCUGGGAAGCUAUAUAACGUUAUAAUUAAAAAUCAUAUUAUAUAGAAUGAACAACGACGACGGAUUUGAUGCAGUUAGCGUAGCCAAGCUAUCGCUUGCUUUCACUUGUCGUACCUGUUUGAACACCAAUUCAGACGAACAGUUGACUUCAAUUUUCGAAGGCAGUAAAGCCAGUGGCAAAUUUGAUUUGUUGGAUCAGCUGUUACUACUAAAUCUAAAGAUUGUGAAAGAUGAUGGAUAUCCGGAAAAUAUAUGUAGCAUUUGCAUGCAACGGUUGGAGACUAUCGAUGCUUUCCGAAAGCAAUGUGAAAAGGCUCAAGAGUAUCUCGAACAGAACUGUUUCAAAGUCCCCGAAGAUAAGCCGAAAUGCAAUCCAGAAGUACUAGAUUGUUUCGUUGGAGAUUCAGAACUUUUCAUUGAAUCGACGAAAUUGGAACCGCCAGAUGAUGACGAAAAUGAGGAACAUCUGGACGAUAAAGCUGAAUCGACAUCAGAAUAUAAUCCAGAGGAUGACGGUUCUUCAUCGGAAGAGGAAGAAACGUUCAAAGAGGGCAAUUGCGUAAAGGUCGAUGAGAAGCUAAAAUGUCCUUUGUGUGAUAAAAUUUUUCGAACCGUUGCCAACAUGAAUGAUCAUCUAAAUUUGCAUAGUGAUGUAAAAGGGUUUUCAUGUAAUGAAUGUGACAAGUCUUUCAAAACGAGACGGUAUCUUCGAAAACACAAGGCUUUUGUUCAUGUUUUUGGCGAUCAUGAAUGUGCUACGUGUGGAAUGAAAUUUAACAAAACAUCCACAUAUCAGUCUCACUUGAAAUCCCACAGCCGGACUAACAAGCCCAAAAAAUCAUACACAUGCAGCUACUGCGACAAAUCAUUUGAUCAUCGUAACCAUUGGAAAAGUCACGAACUCACUCACACGGGGAAACGAACUCACCUGUGUAACAUCUGUGGCAAAAGUUUCAUCUACGACAGUAGCCUCAAAAGGCAUCUCAAAAAUCAUCUCAAAAUCCACAACGGAGAUGCAGAAAAGUAUGCAUGUACAAUUUGUAGUAAAACAUUUUCAAGAAAAGAUAGUCUAAAAGCACACCAUGAUGUCCAUCUAAACCUCAAAGCAUAUCAGUGCGAUCAAUGUGGCAAACAAUUUGUCCAUCAAUACACACUUAAAGGACACAUGAAGCUUCACAACGUCGAAAAAACACACCACUGUGAAUUUUGCCAAGAAUCUUAUCUAAGGAUCCGAGAUUUGAGGCGGCAUCGAUUGUUAAUUCACAACAAAACGAAAGAAAUUAAUGAUCAAGUGAUCGAUCAAUCAUUGCAAGAAAAAAAGGAAGUUGUCAUCAAGGAAGAAGAGAAUUCUCCCAAAAAUCUUCGCAAAAGACCAAGAGAGGAAAAUCCGUACUGUUGUGAUUUGUGUGGCAAAUCGUACAGAAUACCGUCAGCGUUAGGAAACCACAUGAAAAUGCACAGCAAGGACCGACGUUAUGUCUGUAAGGCAUGCGGCCAUGCAUUUAACAACAUUGUACAUUUGCAACAGCAUGUCAAUGCCGUACAUAUGAAACAAAAACCGUACAGUUGUCAGGUAUGCAAGAAAUCAUUCGGCCGAAACAGCGAUCUGAAUCGUCACAGGAAAAUACAUUCGGUUGAUAAACCAUACCAGUGCGCUGACUGUGGAAAAGUUUAUGCAUGGGCUAUGUCGCUUAAAAAUCACAUUCGAGAACAUACUGGAGAAAAACCGUUCGUGUGCAUCAUUUGCAAUGUGGGUUUUGCGCAGCAGAAUUGUCUGGCCCGUCAUACUCGAAGCGCGCACACGGGAGUUUUAAUCAAUAUCCCGAAGGAAAGUGCAGGCAGUGAAGAACUAGCUCAGAACGCCUCAUAGUCACCAGGCGUCGUAUUACAGUCAACUCGAUAUUGAAGGGACAAUCGAGUUAGAGAGGUAGACAAUCGUUGCCGGUGAUAUUUUCGUCCGAAAGUCCUUUGUUCAGUGUUGGAAAAGUAUGCGAUAUUUCACGAACUUCACCAAGGAAAACGUUCACGAGCCAAAGUAAGUUUUAAGUGAACUUUUCCAUCACUGCCUUUGUCAGUUUCAGUCGAAUGCAUGGAAA